rnacentral:rRNA from 1 species
UACGUAGGCAGCGAGCGUUGUUCGGAGUUACUGGGCGUAAAGGGUGUGUAGGCGGUUGUUUAAGUUUGGUGUGAAAUCUCCCGGCUCAACUGGGAGGGUGCGCCGAAUACUGAAUGACUAGAGUGCGGGAGAGGAAAGUGGAAUUCCUGGUGUAGCGGUGAAAUGCGUAGAUAUCAGGAGGAACACCGGUGGUGUGACAGGCUUUCUGGACAGCUACUGACACUGAGGCACGAAAGCGUGGGGAGCAAACAGG